rnacentral:rRNA from 1 species
GACGAACGCUGGCGGCGUGCUUAACACAUGCAAGUCGAACGGAAAGGCCCUGCUUUCGUGGGGUGCUCGAGUGGCGAACGGGUGAGUAACACGUGAGUAACCGGCCCUUGACUUUGGGAUAACUUCAGGAAACUGGGGCUAAUACCGGCUAGGAGCUCCUGCUGCAUGGGGGGGGUUGGAAAGUUUCGGCGGUUGGGGAUGGACUUGCGGCUUAUCAGCUGGUUGGUGGGGUAGUGGCCUACCAAGGCUUUGACGGGUAGCCGGCUUGAGAGGGUGACCGGCCACAAUGGGACUGAGAUACGGACCAGACUCCUACGGGGGGCAACAGUGGGAAAUAUGACACAAUGGGCGGAAGCCUGAUACAGCAACGCCGCGUGCGGGAUGACGGCCUUCGGGUUGUAAACCGCUUUCGCCUGAGACGAAGCGUGAGUGACGGUAAUAGGUGAAGAAGCACCGGCUAACUACGUG